GUUUUAAUAGUUUAAAAAAAAUAUUGGUCUUGUAAGCCAAGAUUAAGGGCCACCUUUUAAAGCU
rnacentral:tRNA from 1 species